CGAGCCUUAGCCAAAGCCACCAACUACAAGUUGCCGGGAAAGAAGCUCUCUCCGCCCCCUUCUCUCUCUCCCCUUCAAAACCGGCAGCGUAUCUCGCUCUCUCCUAAAAAGCAGUCUCUCUCUCUCUCCUUUUGUCUAUGAUCUACCUCAUCGUCACCACUUCUAUAAAUGGCUCCUUAAUCUUAUCUCGCUAAAUUUUUUGCCCUUGUUUUCAUCACUAAAAACCCUAGUUUCUCUGCAACUCAGUGAAGCUCCAGUUCUCGGCAUCUGAGCUUAAAAAAUCCCCUUAUUUUUCCUCUGUUCUAAGGUUUUUGGCCCCCGAUAUUGUUCAGCAAGCAACUCUAAUCUCUGCAGCAAGAGUCAUACAAGAGGACCCUGAAUUUGGAUGCUCUGAUUUGAGAUUAGGUCAUGGAGAGGACGGUGGGUGAGAAGUUCAGGUUAGGUCGGAAAAUUGGGAGUGGAUCUUUUGGAGAAAUAUAUCUUGCUACUCAUGUUGAUACAAAUGAGGUCGUGGCCGUGAAGCUUGAGAGUGGGAAGACAAAGCAUCCACAACUGCUUUAUGAGGCCAAGCUAUAUAAAAUUCUACAAGGAGGAAGUGGUAUUGCAAAUAUACGAUGGAGUGGGCUUGAUGGAGAGUACAAUGUCUUAGUGCUUGAUUUGCUUGGACCAAGUCUUGAAGACUUGUUUGUCUACUGUGGUAGGAAAUUCUCGUUGAAGACGGUCUUAAUGCUCGCCGAUCAGAUGAUAACUAGAAUAGAGUACGUUCACUCCAAAGGAUUUUUGCAUAGGGACAUCAAGCCAGAUAAUUUCCUAAUGGGUCUUGGUAAGAAAGCAAACCAGGUCUACGUCAUUGACUUUGGACUUGCAAAACGAUACCGGGACUCCACAACCAAUCGCCAUAUUCCUUACAGGGAGGACAAAAAUCUGACUGGUACUGCACGUUAUGCAAGUUGCAACACUCAUUUGGGCAUUGAACAAAGCCGCAGGGAUGACUUGGAGUCUCUUGGAUAUGUUCUUCUAUAUUUCCUAAGAGGAAGCCUUCCAUGGCAGGGUUUGAAGGCUGCAACAAAGAAACAAAAAUAUGAAAAAAUAUGUGAGAAGAAGUUGUCCACCCCAAUUGAGGUCUUAUGCAAGUCUCAUCCCGUGGAAUUUGCAUCCUACCUACAUUACUGCCAUUCUUUGACAUUCGAUCAACGGCCUGAUUAUGGCUUCUUGAAGCGGCUAUUUCGUGACUUAUUUUCACGUGAAGGAUAUCAGUUUGAUUAUAUAUUCGAUUGGACCAUCCUCAAAUACCAACAAGCCCAGAGAACGAAGACUCAUCAGCGAUCAUCUCCAAUAUCUGGAGGGAAUAGCAGCCGAGCUGUGCCGCUGGAUGCCGGCAAUCAUAUAGGGGAUAAUAAUGUUUCUAAUCUUGCUGAGGUGGCUGAUCGAUUUGGUACAAGUAAUGGUGCUCGUCCUGCGAUUCGGAUGCAAUUUAAACCAUCGAAUGAUAGAACUUUCGGCAUUGAGAAUGCUCAUCUAGAGAAGACUAGAGUGGGAGCUCUGGUUGACAAAGGACCCAUGCCUUCUACAUCAUUUGCUCCACCAAGUACGUCAAAGAGAAAUUUUAUGAGUAUAAAACCUGUGAAGCCAACUGAAAUUUCCAAUUCGGUUCGUGCAAUAGGUGGCAAUAGUGGUCCUUCAAGCAGCUGGCUUCCUUCAUUGCAACGCACUUCCUCUUCAAAAAGAAUGGAGUGAAUAUAUGAAGAAAAGAAGAAUAUAAAGGGUUUCAAAUUCUCUUGCUGUGAAGUACCUGCAAAUUUGUCACUUCAAAGGGCCCCACUUUGUGGAUAUCAACGAGCAUACUCUCUUUCUCUUAAGUAGUGUUUCAGGUACCGGGCCUUGCAUGCUUUUCUAUGUAUUGGACAUCCUUCAGGUUUAUCUGUGCUUCUCUUUAUGAGAACAUGAUGUUGCGUGAGAACCACAGAAGGAAAAAGAGAAGCAUAAGGCCUGCAUUCUUUAUGACCAGCCCAAGAAAGUGAGAAAAAGAAGGAACUCUUAACAAGGUCUCUCCAAUUGGUAUAACCACUUGGUUUCCCCACUUGCAGUCCAUGGAGUUCAAUCGUUUCUAACUUCACAGGUAUUGAAUAUGCUAAUUUUUUUUCGAUAGCUGACUUCAUUCAUAGGUAUAAAACUUGCAUGGAGUCUUUGUUUUUCUUAUUUAGCAGCUUUCAAUGAUCUUUGAGUAGCCCUUUCAACCUGCCAACCUAGGUCGCGAGCCGAGGUGCUUGACUUGUAAAGAGAAUCAAGCUUGAGUAAUAUGUUCUGGUGUGGCAUUCCUAGCCAAGCUGCACCCACUAGCUUGAUAAUUAGACAUGCCAAGAUCAAGCAUAAAAAAGUUUGGCUUAAGCUUGUCUACUAUAUUAUACAUAUAAUAUACUUGUCUAUUUUAUUAUAUGCAUAGUAUAUAUAAAGGAAACAAUACAUAUUAUGGUAUAUGGACCUCACCUCAAAAGGGAAAAUCAUCUCAAGCUAUCCUAUUUACCAUAUAGAUAUGUAUUCCAUGUAGCCGAGUUUGUUCUGAGCUUGUUUCUUAACAAGCCAACCCAAGGCCAAGGUCAAACCUUCCCUUGAUCUAGCUGAGCUUAGUCUUGGUGAUUGAGGCUCCAGUCAAGAUCAAGCUGGUCCUUCACCCAAUGGAAGCGUGGCUUGCACAUGCUGAAGCUCACCAUGGCUCUGCUGGUUGGCUCCCCUUUCUUUAAAAUUUUUGAUAUUUGUAAUUUGAGCUGUAUUUCCCCCCCUUAAUGUUUUUAGGGUGUGGUUUAAGAAGUUAGUCCAAGUUGACUUGAGUGGCUGGUUCAAGUCAGUUUGUCCUUUUGGGAGUCCAAUUUAUUUAAGGAAAAGUAUAUAAAGAGACCAUUUAUUUUUGGUAAAAAGAAGUUACAAGUACUCUUGUCCGUCAGAUUUCAAAUCGGGUGGUUGUAAGAGUGCAAAUUACUUAGGUUCAAAGGUCAAAAGAAAAAUUUAUCGAAUUUUAUAAAGCACUUCAAGCCAUUCAAUUUCACAUCUAAUGGUUACGAGUAAUUGCAACCUCUUUGUAAUAAAAGUAAAUGGUCUCUUAGUAUACAAUCCCUUUAUUUAAUAUCAGUCACACAAUAUGCAUAAUUGAUAGGGUGGUCAAAUAUUGUGUUGAUGAUAUGAAGCACAAUAAAUUGUUUAUAAAGAUAUCUAGGAAAUCAUUGUAGACUAGCAUCUUUUGGAUAGUUUUCCACCAAAAUAACUAAAAAAAGGAGCAAUGCCACCAACUCGACUUAUUGACUCAAGUUUUUUUUCUUGAGUCCAAUUUUGAACUUGUUAUGCCUUGAUUCAGAGAGUUAAUGGUGUUGUGGAUGCAUUUGUACCUUGAUUGUGUUCUUUGCACUUGAUGAAAAUAUCUUCAUGGAACCUACUUUAAGUUUCAUUUCUCCAUGAAUCUAAAGUUUGAAAACCUAUCUUUUUUAAUAAAGAUUCUUAUUAAUUAUAUCUUCCAGCCCCUGAUACCAAUUUUAUCCAAUUUUUUAACCUAAACAAAUUUGUAAAUGACAUCCUCUUCUAAACUCCCGUCUCUCUCUACAUGUUUCUCUUCUCUCUCUAUAUACGUUUCUCUCACUGGGACCCAGCGUUCACCAUGGUCUCCGAGUUUUUGAAGAAUAAAAAAACACCAUAUCCUCCCUCUGAUCUGUUACGUUUGAACACAUAUUUUCUAUUGGAACCAUGUUUACAGUUGUCAACCAAGCUCCCAAACCAGAUUCUAACACUUCUUUAUCACAUGGUUCUUAAUUAAAAUAUCUUUUGUAAACUUAGAGUUAACACCCUCUAUCUUCAUUGGAUCAAAAGCUCUAAUAUGUUGUUAUAACAAUUCAGAAUCAACGACUGGAUACCCCCUCAUUGCAAAAUUAUACGAGAGCCCCCAACCCUCACCCAAUAAAACAUAAUUUUGAAUAUUCGACCUCUCAAAAUAAUACAGUAAAUUCAUUGCAUUUGCCUUAGAAAUCCUAUAACUAUUACAGUCCUAUGAUUCUGAAAAUUGAGGAAAGAAGACAAUUUGGGAGAAAGAUAGAAAGGGAAAAGAAGCUCUUCAGAAAAUUUGGAGCACAACUAUUAUGGUCCUCUCAUUUUGAAAGUUGGGGAAAGCCGACAAUUUGGGAGAAAGAUAGAAAGAGAAAGAGGCUGUUCUAAAAAUGGGAGAGAGGGAUUUUGGAAAUGAAAAGAAGACAAUUUGGAGAGAACGGUAGAAAGAGAAAGAGGCUCUUGUCAAAAUAGAGAGAGAGGCUCUUCCAUAGAGAACCAGAAAGAACCCUUGGCCAUGGUGGAGCUGCCUCUGACCAUAUCCAACAGCUCUGUUGACCCCUCAUCCACGAAGAAGAAUCUUAGCCGUUGGUCCUCCUCCAUCCCUACCCCUCAAUGACUGAUUCCUGGACUCAGUGUCUGGCAAGUACUUCAAACUUUCGCAGCAGAGCUCCACCCCCGUAAUCGAGCUCCAUGCAAGGACAUAGAGAGAAAUAAAAGCAAAAUAGAGAGAGAGAGUAGGGAAAAUACAGAGAAAGAGAGAGGGUGGUUUUGUUAGAUCACGGGGACAUAGAAUAAAGUAAUAAAUUAUAUACCUAAAAACCAGAAAUAAUCCUCAUUGGUUUCUCAUAACCAACUAUCUGAUCCAAAUCUGGUGUCCAGCUUUCCAAGCUAGUUAGAGAGAGAAAGAGGGAGAGUGAUUUCUCUCUCCUCCACAAAAAUGUGGCAGGGGAAGUAGAAAGGCCUCUGAUUCAAACAAGCCGCAGUUCAUGCUUCACUUCUUUUUCUCCUUUCAGUUGCUUUCUGUCUCUUUAAUGGGAGCCCAUGCUAUGUCCGAGCGUGCAAUCAAUUCUUAUGGGGAAGAGAGAGGGUGAGAGACACAGGGGAGAGAGAGAAUGCGAAAAUAGGGAGAGAGAGAUUUAGUUAUGGGGAAGAGAGAGAGACACGGGGGAGAGAAUGCAAAAAUAGGGAGAGUAGUUACGAGGAGGAGAGAAAUUGAGAGACGCGGAGGAGAGAGAAGGGGAAAAUAGAGAGAGAUUUAGGAGAAAUCACUUGACGAGAGAGAAAUGAUAGGUUUUUUUUUACAUUUGUUUGGGGUAAAUAAAUAGGUUUAAAGGAGAUAAAGUUAGCUUAGAGGGUUAAAAGAUGCAAAACUUAGAAUUGUUAUGAUCCAAGAUAUGUUUUGAAACUUUAGGUUUAUUGAGAUAUAAAACUUAAAAAAAGAAGGUAUGGAGAUAUUUUCUCUUCUUUAUAUCUAACGGCACUCAUGUCUCUGAAAAUGCAUUGGUUACUGUAGCUGUCAAUUUCUUCCUAUGCCUGUUGACUAUAAUGAAAUAGAAGCGAGGUUUACCAUUUUCUUUUGGGAAUUGUCGACUCAUGGACUGUAUUUAUUGUGCAUAUAUGCUUUGAUAUAACUGUACUGGAACUCCCACAAAAUCUGCAAGGAAAAUUUUGAAUGAGCGCGUGUGCAGUGCUUCUGCUGGAGCAGAAGGUAAUUCUUGCUCCUUCUCUUCAUGUGAAAGUCUGGGAUCUGCUUUAGUGUCACUAAGGGUCAUGUGAAAGUUUGGGAUCUACUUUAGGUCACUAAGGGCGUGUUUGAUAAGUAGAAGUUUCUGGAAGUGGAUAUUAAAUGUCCCAUUUCAUGUUUGAUGUUACGGAAAGCUGUAAAGUGGAAAGGUGACUUUCCAUGCAUCUGUUUUUUCAGUGUUAAAAUGGGUUCAUUUUUGGAAGACCUAUCUUCCAUAAAAAAUAAUGAAAAAGCAGUCUUUCAUAAUUUGUGGGAGAGUCCUUUCCACUUCCAAAAACUCCAUACGUCAAACACACUCUAGAGUAUUUUCUAAACCACCCCCCUCUAACAAAAAAAAAGAAAAAAAAACGAAGGAAAAAGAAGAAAUUUAUUGAGUUCCUUGAUUUCUAAAAAAUAGAACACCUAGAUCUGAGUUUUGGAUGGUUUUGAGGUCAAUCGUAAGAUGUGAUUUGUUCACGCACUUUCAUAGUAUAUUGAAUUACAUCCCUAUAAUUUUGGGUCCUAAAAGUAUUCCUAACUGGUUUUUUGGAGGGAGUAAUUGUUUAAAAGCUAUUAUUUGUACUGGGAGUUGAGCGUUUAUAUUUCUUUUAAUGUGUCUGCUCAUAUUGUAUGAAAAGCUAUUAUUUGUACUGGGAAUUGUGCGUUUAUAUUUUUUUUAAUGUGUGCUCAUGUUGUAUGCAUUCUUUUUAAGUUUUUCUGGACACGUUGUCAUU